rnacentral:rRNA from 1 species
UAAGUCAGCCACGAAUAGGCUAUCCCAACUAACGGCGGGAAAGACUCCACGGAGGGUGUAAGACCCGUGUGGGCGCGUGUCAAAGCUGUGCGGGCUCGGCCUCUAUUCCCUGAGAGUCGCGUUGCUUGAGCAUGCAGCGCUAAGCAGGUCGUAAACUCGAUCUAAGGCUAAAUAUCUCCACAGAACCGAUAGCGAACAAGUACCGUGAGGGAAAGUUGAAAAGCACUCUGGAGAGAGAGUCAAAAGACCGUGAAACCGCUCAGAGUAUAAGCCCAUGGCAGCUUGGAAGGCAUAUCGCUAGCGGGGCAUCGGUCUUCCUUCGCGGGGAGCUGGUGUUACCUUGCUUCUGUUGUGGCUCGUCAUGGUAGGGGGGUCAAGUCCACAUCCCGCCGUCGUGUGGGGGGUUCUUGGGCGUGUUGUUGCUUUUCGGUUGGUUUCGGCUGCCGGAGGGCGCUUCGUGCUCGGUUCCUCUUCUUAGACACGGACGUUCAGACUCAGAGGCAAGACGCGAUAAACAGCCCACCACGGCACGUUGUGAGGUCACCCACAGGCUCGACUUUCGAUCGCGAUCCUUGACGCCGAGCAAGCACAAUGCGUGUCGCUUAUGUUCCUAACCAGGCAACGCUGCCAGGACCGUGGAACGACACGCGCUCAACAGUCAGGUUCGGGCGGAGACAGAGUUCUGGUACGAUCCUCUUGCGACGAGCCGGCUUCUGGCCAACAUCCGAUGCUCAGGUCUCCCGCAUGUGCCGCGGGAGAUCGCUUUGACGGUCUGGA